GGGAGGGUUUUAGUAGAGCAUAUAGCGAAGUUACACAGCGAAGUGAAACGCCUAAUGGGAUAGUGUCAGAAGCAGAGGUGAGAAAAUGGGAUCAAAGGCGAAGAAGAAUGGUUCAGCAGCAGAGGACAUUCUUGAAACCCUCGGAGACUUUACUAGCAAAGAGAACUGGGACAAGUUCUUCACCCUCCGCGCCGAUUCCUUCGAGUGGUACGCGGAGUGGCCCUACCUCAGAGACCCUCUCCUCUCCCUCCUCCGUACCCUCGCACACCCUCUCCCCCUCCCCCUCCUCGUCCCCGCUUGUGGCAACUCCCGCCUCUCCGAGCACCUCUACGACGCCGGCCACACUGCCAUCACGAAUGUCGACUUCUCCAAGGUCGUCAUCUCCGACAUGCUCCGCCGCAACGUCCGCGACCGCCCUCUCAUGCGCUGGCGCGUCAUGGACAUCACCGCCAUGCAGUUUGAGGACGAGAGCUUCAUUGCGGUUAUUGAUAAAGGUGGAUUAGAUGCUUUGAUGGAGCCCGAGCUUGGCCCCAAGUUGGGGAACCAGUACCUAUCUGAGGUGAAGAGAGUUUUAAAGCCUGGGGGCAAGUUUGUGUGCCUCACCCUGGCUGAAUCUCAUGUACUAAAUCUACUUUUCUCAAAGUUCCGACUUGGGUGGAAAAUGAGUGUUGAUGCCAUACCUUUAAAGUCUUCUGGUAAACCUAGCCUUGAAACGUUUAUGGUGGUUGCGGAGAAGGAGCUAUCUACUGUUGUGCAUCAGAUUACAUCAUUGCUUCAUAGUUCUUCUCUUAAUUGUAAUUCAAAACAGGUUUCUGGAUUUACUGAAGCCCUUCAAAAUGAAAACCUAAUUCGUGAAAAGUACUCUAAUGACUCUGGGUUAUUAUAUUCUGUGGAAGAUCUGCAAGAGGAUCUGCUAAAGCUUUCUCAAGGUCGGCGAUUGCAGAUAACUUUGGGUGGACCAGGGUGCUCUACUUUUUCUUAUAGGGCUAUAAUUCUUGAUGCUGAGGAACUGGCUGACCCUUUUACAUAUCAUUGUGGGAUUUUCAUUGUGCCUAAGAUUCGUGCACGGGAAUGGCUUUUCUAUUCUGAAGAAGGACAGUGGAUGGUGGUCAGAAGCUCCAAAGCUGCUCGGCUCAUAAUGGUUUUCUUGGAUGCCAGCCAUUCAGAUACCAGCAUGGAGGAGAUUCAGAAGGAUUUGUCUCUGUUGGUUACACCGUUGGCACCUGCAGAAAAUGACACUGGAGCUCAAAUACCUUUCAUGAUGGCAAGUGAGGGGCUCAAGGAACGAAACAUCAUUCACAAGGUCACAUCUUCAUUAACUGGAUCAAUUAUUGUUGAAGAUGUAAUUUAUGAAAAUGUUGAUAGUGAAGUCAAUUGUAUUUUUCCUUCUAGAGAGUUGGUCUUUCGUCGUCUCGUUUUCGAGAGAGCUGCAAAUUUGGUGCAGUCUGAAGCUCUUCUAAAAGAUGAAUCGCUGCCUACAAAAUUGGUUAGUGAGUUGGGGAGGAAGAAAAAGAAUGCAUCUUCCAAAUCCAGAAAAAGUGGAUCUCAGAGACACAAUGCUGGAGCAAGUAACCAGUUGACAGUCUACCAUGGCUAUGUAGCUAGUUCUUAUCAUACAGGAAUUAUUUCUGGAUUCAUGUUGAUAUCUUCUUAUAUGGAAACUGUGGCAUCAAGUGGGAAAAUGGUAAAAGCAGUAAUAAUAGGUCUUGGAGCAGGUUUACUUCCCAUGUUUCUUCAUGGUUGUGUCCCCUUUUUAGAGAUUGAGACUGUGGAGUUAGACCCCGUGAUUGUUGAUAUUGCAAAGGACUACUUCAGUUUUAUGGAGGAUGAACGACUAAAGGUGCACAUAGCUGAUGGGAUCCAAUUUGUCCAAGAGAUUGACAAUUCUGGAGUGGCUCAAAUUCAUGGAAAAAGUAAUGACUGUAGUUACACAGAGUCUCCUUUAAAUGAAAGUUCUACUGUGUCUCAUGCUGGUGUAGAACUUACAAAAGUUGAUAUCAUUAUUGUUGAUGUGGACUCUUCGGACCCAAGCUCGGGAUUGACAUGCCCUGCUCCAGAUUUUUUGGAUGAGUUUUUUCUUGAGACUGUAAAGGAUAAGUUGUCAGAGAAUGGUCUCUUCGUCGUCAAUUUGGUGUCACGGUCCCAAGCCAUUAAGGAUAUGGCUCUCUCGAAAAUGAAAAAGGUUUUCAGCCACCUCUUCUGUCUCCAGCUUGACGAGGACGUCAAUGAGGUUCAUUUUGCACUCAAAUCGGAGUCCUGUAUUGAGGAUAACUGUUUCUCUGAAGCUUCUAUUAAACUUCAUAAAUUGUUGGAGUUUAAACACCCAGAGAUUGGUCAAAACAUUAUCAAUGCGACAAAAAAGAUCAGACGUUUAAAGUGAAAAAACUUGCUUGCUUUCACAAAGCGGAAGUCUUCUCAGCCAAAUAUUUGUCGUUGAUCUGUGUAUUGGACUCUCUAGACUGAUGUUUAAGGAGAAGCACUCUUCAUCGAGCAAGCAAAGUUAAAGAGUCUAUUUUAGGUUAGAACAGUGGAACAACGUUGAACCGCACUUUGAAGUACGGCUAACCGAAAUUCGAACCGGCGAUCCUUUCGAACACCGACGACCCUUAACCACAGUUCGAACACCGGUUAAGGGUACAUCGCAUUUUCAACGUUGAUUAUGAUUCUGCCGGAAUGAGAUUGUCCUUUUAUUAUCAAUGGAAAAACACACACGAAGCACCAACCUUAGUGCAGAACGCGAUUAAGACACAGAGAGAUGCAAUGAGAAAGCAAGAGGGAGAGGUGCAGCGACAUAGAAAGGAAGACAAGGAGUGGCAAGAGAAGAAGGAAAACAAGGAGCGUAGAGAGAAGAAGGAAACAGAGCCGCCCCCAGAGAGCAAGAGAAGGAGUGCGGUGGGAGGAAAUUGGAAUGGGUUUUGGGGGUGUAAGGUUCGGCUUUCAAUUUUUGAAAAGUAAUCUCAAAAGAUUCUUUCAUUUUUUUUUUAAAUUGUGAAGUAUUCAGAAGGAAGGGUAAUGUACUAAAUUUGGAGAUGCAGGAAGAAUUCAGAUAGGUGUAGGGAGAAUUACUCCAAAUAUCUACUUAGGAUAAGAGAUAAGAGAUCCGUUUAUGUUAAUAUCCGUGGACGGAAUAUUUGUUUAAGAAACUUCUUCAGUAACACUCUCGUUUUCGUUCACAGGACAAGACGUUAUUUUCUUCCUUCCUUCAACUUCCACUGUGACACUAACACAACAGUCAUCCUCCUCCUCCUCCGGUGACCGGUCACCGCCAGGCAGCAAUGGAAAGGGAUUCAUCUUCUGACGAAGUAGACGAGUCCAUCCAUCGGAAGGAUAGGAAUGCGCCUACGUCUCCCUCUUCCUUCCACUUCCAACUCCUCACUUCGCGAAUCACUUCCAACUUCAACUUCCCUUUUCAGAAGAGAUACCUCUUCGCCAUUCUCCCUCUCUUCGCAAUCCUCCUCUGCUACGUCAUCCCCGAUUCCCACUCGCUCUUCUCCCUCUCCUCCGUCAACCUCAAUCUCCGCCACCAUCAACCCGAGGAAUCUCAAUUGCGCGCCCUUUACCUCUUGCGCCAACAGCAAUUAGGGCUUCUCCACACUCUCAAUUCCACUUCCCAAACUCCCACUCUCAAAUCCCUUCUAUCCAACUAGAUUUUCCUCAAUUCACAGAUUCAGCAGCUUCUUCUCAGUCCCUACACCCCUGCCACCUCUCUUUAUUUUCGGAACGCCUCAUGUGGAAUAGUGGAUCAGAACCUGCGAGAAAGGAGGACCAUCGAGUGGAGGCCCGAGGCUAAUAAAUUUUUGGUUGCAGUGUGCGUCUCGGGGCAGAUGUCGAACCAUUUGAUGUGCUUGCAGAAGCACAUGUUCUUCGCGGCUCUCCUUAACCGGGUCCUGGUUAUUCCAGCUUCAAGGUAGAUUAUGAGUACGAGAGAGUAUUGGAUGUGGAGCACAUGAAUAAAUGCAUUGGAGGUAAAGUCAAAGCAGUGAUCUUCCUUCCAAGAGUUUUCUAGCAUGAGGAAGAAGGGCAAGCACGAGGGUAAAUUCUUGUGUUAUUUUUCGCUGCCUCAACCAUUUUGUCUGGACGAGGAGUAUUUGAGGAAGUUGAAAUCGUUGGGGCUUUUGUCUACGAAUAGGCCUGCGACUGUGUGGGAUGAAGAUGCGAGGAAGUCAACCGAAAUGUUGGAGGAAACGAAAAAAAAAAAAAAAAAAGAAAGCUAAGAGGAGAAAAGGAAGAAAACAGUGAAAGGGACAAAUGAAGGUUAUGUGAGGGUGUGGAGAUACUGCAGCAGUGAAAAAAAAAGGGAAUGAGAAUGGGAUUAAGAUUUUAGAUUAAAAUAAGUAAAAAACAAAUAUUUAUAUAAGAUUAGUUUUAAAAAUAAGAAAAGUUGGAGAGGUACAGGAUUACAAUGUGGUGGUGGAGAGAGCAAUAUUCCUCUUUUGUAAGCUGAGUAUGACUUUUAAAAUUUUAGAAAAAAAAAGUGUUACUUUUUACCGUGUACAUUUCUAUGAAUUCAAAAGAACAAAUUUCACUUUUAA